GCCGGGUGUGGUGGCUCACGCCUGUAAUCCCAGCACUUUGGGAGGCCGAGAUGGGUGGAUCACCUGAGGUCAGGAGUUUGAGACCAGCCUGGCCAACAUGGUGAAACUCCAUCUCUA
ensembl:misc_RNA Metazoa_SRP Metazoan signal recognition particle RNA